UGGGGAAUAUUGCACAAUGGGGGAAACCCUGAUGCAGCGACGCCGCGUGAGCGAUGAAGUAUUUCGGUAUGUAAAGCUCUAUCAGCAGGGAAGAAAAUGACGGUACCUGACUAAGAAGCCCCGGCUAACUACGUGCCAGCAGCCGCGGUAAUACGUAGGGGCAAGCGUUAUGCCGGAUUUACUGGGUGUAAAGGGAGCGUAGACGGCGAUGCAAGCCAGAUGUGAAAGCCCCGGGGCUCAACCCCGGGACGUGCAUUUGGAAUGCUGUAAUGCUGGAGUGUCGGAGAGGCAGGCGGAAUUCCUAGUGUAGCGGUGAAAUGCGUAGAUAUUAGGAGGAACACCAGUGGCGAAGGCGGCCUGCUGGACGAUGACUGACGUUGAGGCUCGAAAGCGUGGGGAGCAAACAGGAUUAGAUACCC
rnacentral:rRNA from 1 species